AAUUUACAGAAGUCAGCUUUCACUCGUGUCAUUGAUGCUUACAAGCAAAUCGCGAUUGCUGGAGGUUCUCAAGUCCGGUUUUCUCUUCUUGCCUAUUUAGGUGUUGAGUUUCCUUCGGAGCUAAACCCUUGGAAAUUUCUACAAACACAUAUAUUGUCCGAUUAUAUGAAUCAUGAGGGGCACGAGUUGACAUUGCGUGUCCUCUACAGGUUGUAUGGGCAUGCAGAAGAAGACCAGGAUUUUUUUUCUUCAACAGCUGCAGCAUCCGUAUAUGAAACAUUUUUACUUGCAGUGGCAGAAACACUUAGAGAUUCUUUUCCAGCUUCUGACAAAUCUCUAAGUAGAUUGCUGUGUGAAGCUCCUCACUUACCAAAUUCUACUCUCAAGUUGUUAGAGAGCUUCUGUUGUCCUGGUAGUUGUGAAAAGGAUGAGAAGGAGUUGCAUAGUGGAGAUCGAGUCACUCAAGGCCUCAGUACUGUGUGGAACCUGAUUAUGCUGAGACCUCUAAUGAGAGAAGCUUGUCUCAAAAUUGCUUUACAGAGUGCUGUUCAUCACUUGGAAGAGGUGCGCAUGAAGGCAAUACGGCUGGUUGCCAACAAGCUUUAUCCUCUGACAUCCAUCUCUCAACAAAUAGAACUCUUUGCCAAUGAAAUGUUGAUGUCAGUUUCAACUGUUGAUCAUAAAGCAGACUCAAAUGGUGAUGAAUCUGAUCCCAUAUUGCAGAAGGAUUCUGCUUCUGAAAAGCCCUCGGAAGAAGUACCAUCAUUUUCUGCCUCCUCUAACCCUCUUCAGUCAUCCACUUCUGGAAGCAAAUCACCAUUUUCUAUUGCUGAGGGUCAGCGACGCAUAUCGCUCUAUUUUGCACUGUGUACUAAGAAGCACUCACUCUUUGGUCAAAUAUUUGUUGUAUAUAGUGGUGCAUCCGAGGCUGUACAGCAGGCAAUACAUCAACAGAUCCACAUGCUAGUUCGGACAAUUGGUUCUUCAUCUGAGUUACUUGAUAUAAUAUCAGAUCCGCAUAAUGGAAGUGAAAAACUAUUGAUACAGGUUUUGCAAACGUUGACUGAGGGGAUAGUUCCUUCCUUACAGUUGAUAACUACCAUCAGGAAGCUAUAUGAGACUAAAGUAAAGGAUGUUCAGCUCCUUAUUAUGAUACUUCCUUUCCUGUCAAAAGAUGAGGUUUUGCUUCUUUUUCCACAUGUUGUGAAUGCUCCAUUGGAUAAAUUCCAAGGCGCUCUCCUUCGUACUCUACAGGGAUCAUCUCACUCAGGUCCAGUGCUAACUCCUACUGAAGCAUUAAUUGCUAUCCAUAGGAUAGAUCCUGAAAGAGAAGGCAUUCCUCUAAAGAGGGUUACAGAUGCAUGCAAUGCUUGUUUUGAGCAGAGAGAGAUAUUCACGCAACAAGUUCUUGCAAAGGUCUUGAACCAAUUGGUUGAACAGAUUCCUCUUCCUUUGUUGUUCAUGCGGACAGUAUUACAAGCUAUUGGUGCUUUUCCAUCUCUGGUGGAUUUCAUCAUGGAGAUCCUCUCUCGUCUUGUUAGCAAGCAGAUAUGGAAAUAUCCAAAGCAGUGGGUAGGAUUUGUGAAGUGUGCCCUUUUGACCCGGCCACAAUCUUUUGGAGUGCUUCUUCAGCUACCUCCAGCUCAGCUUGAAAAUGCAUUGGGUAGAACACCUGCUCUUAGAGCUCCUUUAGUUGCACAUGCAAGCCAAGCACACAUAAAAUCUUCACUUCCAAGGUCUGUCUUAAUGGUUCUUGGAAUUGAAUCGGAUGCUCAAGUUUCAAGUCAGGCACCUCCCAACCAGUCUCAGACAGGUGAUAUUGACAAUUCUGAUAAAGAAGAAGGCACUGAAAAAUCCAAGGACUCGUCAGUUGUCAGUUGAUUUGAUGUGUGAGCUUGGUGCUUCACUUGUAGAUUGCUGGCGUACAGUUUGUAUUGCAUCCUGAACUCUAGGGAGUCUUGUUCCCCACUCUAGACAAAGCUCUCGAUUCUAUUCCUUCAAGUAUCUGGCAGGCUGAUGCUAGAGCAGGGUCCUUAAUGGGAAUCAGUUUUGUGGUUCUUUUCUGGCCUUGGAAUGAGGUUAUCAGAAUACCUCUGCCUUGCUGUGGAUGCUCGGCUGUGUUGCAAUUGCUUUUUCAUGUAGAGGGCAGUCUUGGACUCUCCCAACCGCAGGUAUUGUUGUCGGUAAUGAGUAAUAGUUGUAUUUAAGGAGUAUCCUGAUCUCUUCCAGAGGGUGCUCAGCUCGACCUUUUGUAUUAUAGCUUAUUUAGGAACUAGGAAGUCACAGGGUGUCUUGAUAACCAAAUAAGUAGGUGCUUGCUAUGUUGUAUGUUGCCUGUAUUCUUCAAUAGUCAAAGCAUUUCAGCAAAUUUUAGGAAUUUGAGUGACCGCCUAAAGAAGUUGUUUGUGCGAGAUUUUGACGUAAAAUGCAUAUUUAGCUGAA
rnacentral:misc_RNA from 1 species